rnacentral:rRNA from 1 species
GGCGGCAGGCUNNNACACAUGCAAGUCGAAGCGGNGNGAUGGUGCUUGCACUAUCACUUAGCGGCGGACGGGUGAGUAAUGCUUAGGAAUCUGCCUAUUAGUGGGGGACAACAUCUCGAAAGGGAUGCUAAUACCGCAUACGUCCUACGGGAGAAAGCAGGGGAUCACUUGUGACCUUGCGCUAAUAGAUGAGCCUAAGUCGGAUUAGCUAGUUGGUGGGGUAAAGGCCUACCAAGGCGACGAUCUGUAGCGGGUCUGAGAGGAUGAUCCGCCACACUGGGACUGAGACACGGCCCAGACUCCUACGGGAGGCAGCAGUGGGGAAUAUUGGACAAUGGGGGGAACCCUGAUCCAGCCAUGCCGCGUGUGUGAAGAAGGCCUUAUGGUUGUAAAGCACUUUAAGCGAGGAGGAGGCUCUUUUGGUUAAUACCCAGGAUGAGUGGACGUUACUCGCAAAAUAAGCACCGGCUAACUCUGUGC